rnacentral:rRNA from 1 species
UAGAUACCCUGGUAGUCCACGCCGUAAACGAUGAACACUAGUCGUCGGAGAGCUUGUCUCUUCGGUGAUGCACUUAACAGAUUAAGUGUUCCGCCUGGGGAGUACGGUCGCAAGAUUAAAACUCAAAGGAAUAGACGGGGACCCGCACAAGUGGUGGAGCAUGUGGUUUAAUUCGAAGAUACGCGAAGAACCUUACCUAGCCUUGACAUUGAUAGAAUCCCGCAGAGAUGCAGGAGUGCCUUUCGGGGAACUUGAAAACAGGUGCUGCACGGCUGUCGUCAGCUCGUGUCGUGAGAUGUUGGGUUAAGUCCCGCAACGAGCGCAACCCUCGUCUUUAGUUGCCAGCAGGUUAAGCUGGGCACUCUAAAGAGACUGCCUACGCAAGUAGGAGGAAGGUGAGGACGACGUCAAGUCAUCAUGGCCCUUAUGGCUAGGGCUACACACGUGCUGCAAUGGGGCGUACAGAGAGUUGCGAUACCGCGAGGUGGAGCUAAUCUCACAAAGCGUCUCUCAGUUCGGAUUGUUCUCUGCAACUCGAGAGCAUGAAGCUGGAAUCACUAGUAAUCGUAGGUCAGCAAUGCUACGGUGAAUACGUUCCCGGGUCUUGUACUCACCGCCCGUCACACCAUGGGAGUUGAUUUCACCCGAAAUUGGGAAGCUAACCUUCGGGAGGCUACCACUUACGGUGGAAUUAGCGACUGGGGUGAAGUCGUAACAAGGUA